AUAUAUUUCACUUCCUGUGCAUGUUUACCAACAUCUAAAUCAAGUGGUGAAACUUGAGAGUCGCACUGGAGAGGAAGUAGUUGAUUUAUGCUAAUGAAGGAGUUGGGGUUUAGCUACGCUGGCUGGGAGCCGCCCUUCAUUCACCACAUGGUUAAACCUCGAGUGUACUCGCGCCACUUUCGCAAUCUUACUACGAAGCUCAAACUCCUAGCAAAUCAUAAUAGCAGCACAUGGUUGUGUUUUUUGGAUUUUACGCCCUAGCUGUUACUCGUUUUGUGAAGUCUGUUCUUUUCUCAGUUUUGCAGAUUCCUCUGAAACAGUGUGAGUAAACGACCCCUGUACACAUCGUCUCUGGAGAGCAUCUCAUUGUGGACUGAAAGAUACCAUGAUUUCAUUCUGUGAAUGAAAACUCAUCUUGAACAAUUUUAUGUCACUGUAGUGUCAAAGUGCUUACAGUGCAGGUAGUUUUAUAAAAUCUACUGCAGUGAAGGCACUUUCACCACUAUUCUGAUAAUGGUGACUAAAGGAUGUCACUUGUUCAGACACAACUCGUCCAGGAUAGACUGAAUCAAAAUGCUCAUGUGAAUACACAUCUGGCAGAACCUCCUCUCCAUCCUGCUGUGAGGUUUGGAGCCCCACUGUUCCUGGGUGAAGCAAUUGUGCCUGGAACUUGUCCCCUUUUCUCAAAUAUGCUUUAUUUGUUAGGCAUCAUGCAUCCGGUCACCGUUAAUCACAUUGCAUAAUUCAGAUGUGCAUGAAAUCUGUGUGUUGCUGAAAGUUUUACCCUUUGCUUUGUAUUGUGGUGUCCAUUAAAAUACAGACAAAAUGAUGCAGAUUUACUUAUUACGAUUUAUAUAGUUUUUUUCCCCAUGCCACUUUGCCGUUGAGACAAAUCAUUGUUAAACGGGUAUUCAGCAUAACUUCCACUAGUGCUUAUGCUAAGGUGCAUCUAGUGCAGAUAGUGAAGUAGACUAGCACCUACUGCCCUAAGUGCUCCUUCUGGCAUAAGGAGCUGGGACUUUCAUCUUCACUGUAUCUUUUGUGUAUGUGUAUUUUCAGUGUAUGUAUACAUUCAUACUUUAAAUUGUUGCAGUUCUCUGUUAGUUUUGCAUAGUUGCGCUGCAAGAAGAAAUAAGUUGUGCAAAUCUAUGCAAAACUGAUGGUGGCCUGUGUUUCCAUCUGAAUCCUCUUUUUGACUUGUUUCUUACUUCAUGCUGGUCACUCAGCUCUGUUAAUAAGGUAAAGUCAGGUUUCAGUAGUAUUAAAGUGCUUAUAGUGCAGGUAGUUUUAUAAAAUUCUACUGCAGUAUGAGCACUUAAAGUACUUCUAGAUGCGUGUUUCAUCUCGGAAAACUGCUGACGUAACCCGUGCACAUAGGUCUCUGGUUAGUUUUGCUGGUUUGCUUUCAGCUUUUUACUGUACUGCUGUGCAAAUCCAUGCAAAACUGAUCAUAGAGCUAAAAUGAAUCUUUCAGAAGUGAUCCCUUUCUGUGCAGGUUGGGAGAGGUAGCAAUGCUCUGUAUUUGUGUGGUAUUGCACUUGUCCCGGCCUGUUGAGGAAACGGGGAAUUGUUCUGCUGCAGUCUCUCGUGAAGUGUCCUCAGCCGUCUAGGAUGUAUUUGUGUUAGACCUUUGGUUUGACAUUUCCAUAUUAUCAGAAGUGCUAUUAUCUUGAUCUAACUGCUAAGUGUUGGCUACUUAAUUUGCCUCAGUGUUAAGUCACUUCAUAUAGCUAACUACUGAAUAGAACUUUGCCAAACAGCUUUUAUUUAAAAAUGUACCUUUUUGUCACAAAGUACAAUUGAUGUUCAAAUUUUGACAAUAAAAUAUUUCCAUUGGCUCA